AUUGAACGCUGGCGGCAUGCCUUACACAUGCAAGUCGAACGGCAGCACGGGAGCAAUCCUGGUGGCGAGUGGCGAACGGGUGAGUAAUAUAUCGGAACGUGCCCAGUCGUGGGGAUAACGUAGCGAAAGCUACGCUAAUACCGCAUACGAUCUACGGAUGAAAGCGGGGGAUCGCAAGACCUCGCGCGAUUGGAGCGGCCGAUAUCAGAUUAGGUAGUUGGUGAGGUAAAGGCUCACCAAGCCAACGAUCUGUAGCUGGUCUGAGAGGACGACCAGCCACACUGGGACUGAGACACGGCCCAGACUCCUACGGGAGGCAGCAGUGGGGAAUUUUGGGACAAUGGGCGCAAGCCUGAUCCAGCAAUGCCGCGUGCAGGAUGAAGGCCUUGGUUGUAAACUGCUUUGUUACGGUAACGGAAAACGGUACGUUA
rnacentral:rRNA from 1 species